GUGAGAGUAGGCCUUGUGUUCACCACAAACCCAGAGGAUACAGACUGUGUAGUUAUUGAUGUGGAAGGAAGUAGGGUCGACUACAAAUCAGCCAGAAAUGAGGAGGUGAGGUCUUUCUCCUUUGACCAAGUUGUAACAGCUGACAACAUGGAGAAUCUUCAUUCCAAACUGCUGCAGCCUCUUCCUGACWCAGUCUCCAGUGGAUGUAACGGAGCGCUGAUGAUGUGUGGAGCAACCGAG